rnacentral:lncRNA from 1 species
CAACCAGCACACAACAACUUUUUGUGUCAUGUUCGUGCGCUUGAUGAAAUUCGCACCAAUCAUCCCAAUGAUGUACCAAGGCGGGAUCAAUCAUUUGAGGGAAUUUUAACUUGUUAGAUAUCUUUAGGUGGGCCAAGAGAUGUCUUUGAGGAACGAUAAACGAUGGGUAAGUAGGUUUCUCCCUUUUUUUUGCUGCUUCGCUGAGUCAC